rnacentral:rRNA from 1 species
UGCAAGUCGAGGGGCAGCACGGUGUAGCAAUACACUGGUGGCGACCGGCGCACGGGUGCGUAACGCGUAUGCAACCUACCCAUAACAGGGGGAUAACACUGAGAAAUUGGUACUAAUACCCCAUAACAUCAGGACCGGCAUCGGUUCUGGUUGAAAACUCCGGUGGUUAUGGAUGGGCAUGCGUUGUAUUAGCUGGUUGGUGAGGUAACGGCUCACCAAGGCAACGAUACAUAGGGGGACUGAGAGGUUAACCCCCCACAUUGGUACUGAGACACGGACCAAACUCCUACGGGAGGCAGCAGUGAGGAAUAUUGGUCAAUGGACGCAAGUCUGAACCAGCCAUGCCGCGUGCAGGAAGACGGCUCUAUGAGUUGUAAACUGCUUUUGUACGAGAGUAAACGCUCUUACGUGUAAGAGCCUGAAAGUAUCGUACGAAUAAGGAUCGGCUAACUCCGUGCCAGCAGCCGCGGUAAUACGGAGGAUCCAAGCGUUAUCCGGAUUUAUUGGGUUUAAAGGGUGCGUAGGCGG